GGGCACCUAAGGGGGCCUAUAACCAAAGAGAACUUUUUCUCUUAAUAUAGCAAACGGAAGACAGCAA
ncrna:unclassified sequences L2-Alphaproteobacteria ribosomal protein leader